GAAGUACAAGGACUCACUUGGAAAAGAAAAAAAGUGUCUUGAUACACAAAAAUAAAUCUAAAGGGUCAGAGAUAUAAAAUACAAAUCUGGGAGUAAUAUAGAAGCAGAUUUUCACAUGCGCCUACUUGCACAACUCAGUAGAUGCUAUACCAAUGUCUCUUAGCUGCCAUAAGCAGGGAGUCAAAGGCAUUCUACUGUAGCAGAAAUGAGGGGGUUCCAUGUGGCCCUCUUCUGUACUGACAGCCCAUGUUCCCUGUGCCAUUUGCUACCCCAGAUACUAACAAUGAUGUCAUUGUUACAGUAUGUUUUCUACUAGAACAACACAAGUGGUAGGUGAAAAUCCAGAGUGUUUCUUUGCUCCUACUGUUCCUUCCUUAGCCUGAUAUUUUACUGGGGCCUCACAGAGAUGUUUGCAGAUUCUGAUCUGGAAUUCUCAUGGCUGGGGCAAUGGAAUGAGGAGUUGUGAUUUAUGCUUGAACACUCCAGAGGCAUCAGGCUGGACUGCACCUAAUCCCCAGCAAUCAAGUGCCCUGAGGACCCACGCUGAAUGGCAUAACAUAAGGGAUCGCUGGGAAAGAUAAAUGCUUCACUGUGCAGUCUGGGCAGCACAUUGUGUGCAUUUCCUCAGUCAACGCAUAGACUUUGAAGACUUGAAUCUUCUCCUUCAGCAUUUCUCUGGAACAUCCCCAGGCUGGUGAUCACUAGAUUCCGUGGUGUCCACUGACUGCUGUGUAGAUGACAGCUGACCUUUGCAGAGGAAGCAGUUCAUGAAGCUACACACUCACUGUGCACUGCUCAGGCAGGCCCGUUGCCAGUGAAUACAGUUAAGCAAGAAAAAGACCAAGUAGCGCUUGCCAAAUGUCUCCUGUUCCCCUCCUAGCCCCUCAACCCAUUUUCCACUUUUUCUUUGUAAAAUACUGUUAAUCUUUUUUUCUUUCCAUUCUAUCACUAUCUCAACUCAAAUCUUCAUCCAUUCAUGCCACAACUUCUGAAGUAAUGUUUAAAGGAGUCCCACACCAGCUAAGGUUUCCCCUGUCACUGAACAUUAGAAAUAAAUAUACACUUAAUUACUUUCCUAACACCCUUCUUUCAUGAAAUCCUCCUACUCAAUACUUUAACUCAGUUACUUUGAGUAGUCCCCUAAACUUGAACUACCCCAACUCAGACAUAUAUUAGCUAAAAUUGAGAUGUUCUCCAUUACUUGGUGAAGAAAUCCCUCCAAGAAAUUUGCCUUGGUGCUGGGUUUAUCACAUACUGUUCCACAAUGAGGUCAGUUUCUGACACCAAGACCUUAGCUGCCUUCGUCUUCCUCCAUCCUAAUUCUCUGUGUUCUAAUCUUCUUUGAAUACCCAGAUGCUGUCUUAGCCCUUCUAUCCGGCUUACCUGUUCUGAAUCCCUGCCCACUUUCUGCCUUCAUAGGCAUUUUCAGACAGCAGGCUCUUGCUCAAGUGUGCAUCCCACAUCCUCUGAAAGGCUUGCCUUUGUGAUAUCUCUGACAACUGUCUGUCUCUUUUGCUUCUGUUGCUAAGGGACAAUACCAUCCAUAAAACUUCAAGGAGGUCGCCUAUUUUUCUUCGUCCUCACAUUCAGUUCAUUCCCAAGUCCUAUUAGUUCUAUUCAUCCAAACAUGUCUCCUAUAAUCUUCCCUCAUACUUACUGCUACCACAGUGACACUAGGCACCAUCACUCAGAGCUUUAUAGCUCUCUCCUAAAGAGUCACCCAAACACAUUCUCCAUGAAACAGCCACUUAACACAUGCAAACACAUAGAAAUCAGACUGUGUUUCUCCCUUGCUGAAUGGUCCACAUUUAGCAUCAAAUAUAGACACAGCGGUAGCGCUUCUCAAACUCAUCUUGGGCCCCUCUCACUGUGAUGUAUUGCAUUCCAACAACAAUGGACUUCAGCUGAUUCCUAGACUGCCUCACCACCAGGACUCUUAAACUUCUGUGCCUGUAGUCAUAGCCAUGUCAUCUCCCAACAGAUCUAUUUUUGUAGCUGUUGACACCCCUCCCUCUUUCAUGUACUCAAUUAUACUUCUGUAAGACCUUUAUUAACCAUUCCAAAUAAAGAGGUCACCAUGUUUUCAUAUUUUA